rnacentral:rRNA from 1 species
GUGGGGAAUAUUGGACAAUGGGCGCAAGCCUGAUCCAGCAAUGCCGCGUGGGUGAAGAAGGCCUUCGGGUUGUAAAGCCCUUUUGUACGGAAAGAAAUCCUGGUGGUUAAUACCCGCCGGGGAUGACGGUACCGUAAGAAUAAGCACCGGCUAACUUCGUGCCAGCAGCCGCGGUAAUACGAAGGGUGCAAGCGUUAAUCGGAAUUACUGGGCGUAAAGCGUGCGUAGGUGGUUUCUUAAGUCUGUCGUGAAAGCCCUGGGCUCAACCUGGGAAUGGCGAUGGAUACUGGGAGGCUAGAGUGCGGUAGAGGAUGGCGGAAUUCCCGGUGUAGCGGUGAAAUGCGUAGAGAUCGGGAGGAACAUCUGUGGCGAAGGCGACGAUCUGGGCCUGAACUGACGCUGAGGAGCGAAAGCUAGGGGAGCAAACGGGAUUAGAAACCCCAGUAGUCC